CAUAAAUGCCUGUAUAACUACUUUUUCUGCCACUCAGUAGUCGUUUCUUUACAAACACAACUCUUGAAAUUGCGCGAUUUGUUAUCUCUUAAACUUUCGGAUUUAAUGAACCCGUGAUUAAGCACUCUUUCUCCCAUUCAGUAGUCGCUUCUUUGCAAACACAACUCUUGGAAUUGCGUUUCUCCUUCUCCGAUUCUGAUUAGUCAUCCUAAGUUUCUGUUAAUCCGGGAUCUGACACGUAGUCUGAAGAUUCAAAGUUCAGUAUUAGCGAUUACCGAGAUAGUCAGAGGCAAUUUUUCCCGAAAAUUCUUCGAAUUUCAUUGGUUUUCUGCAAUUUCUAUUCCCGUUUAGUAUUUUUUGUGAACAAUGGUUCGAAACCCGGAUCUGGGAAAAAGGCCCUUGUCUGCUGAAGAAGAAGAAGCUAAUGUGCCCCAAGAUCUACCUACAGGUGGUCGGCGUAAUCGGUCACUUGGGCGAAUGCCACCUCUUAGCCACGGCGAUGUGCUUCCCAGAAUGGAGGAAAGUGAACCGACAAAUGAAACUCCGAUUCCAGCCGUAUAGAGAAUGGAAUGAACCUUCUACCUCUGGAAAUAGUUCUACGCAUGGGCCUCGGCGUCUGCCAGCAGGUGCCGAAGAAUGGGACAGCCCUACCGAUAAUUGGGGGAUUGCGUCUAUUGCCCCGUACAAUGGUGGAUUGUGGAGAAUCCCCGACACUGUUUCGCCGAGCAAAUCGAAAUUUUCUAUGGUAUUUAUGAAAAGGAUGGGUAUUGGUGUCAAAUGCCAGUUACCGAAGAUAGGAUACACAGACCUCCGCCUGGGUAUAUUGGAGUAUAUACUAGACAACUGCAGUCUGGAUUGAGAUUUCCUCUCCACCCCUUUGUGACCCAAGUGUUGAAUGGAUACAAUAUCUCAUUGUGCCAGCUAACACCGGUCAGUACUCGGAGGGUUAUGACAUUCUUGUGGGUUGCUCUUUUUUAUGGAUUUGACCCUAGCAUUCACGUGUUUCGGCAACUACACAAAUUGGUGGAGAACAAACAAUCAAAUGAACAUCACGGUCCUGGAUGGUGGCGAAUUGAAUCCCGAAAAGGGAUUCUGACCACUUGGCCGAAUGACACCUCCGACAAAGAUUGGAGGGGUCAAUGGAUUUGGGUGAGGGCUCCGUAAGCGGAGAAACAUCCGAAAUUUUUUGGAGGCCCGAGAUAUUUAAAAAAAGCCUGAUAAAAAGAUGUCGGUUAUUGGACCGGAUGAUUUUUCGGCCUACGAUCUGAAAUUGCUGAAGCUCUUCGACAAAUUUCGCACUGGAAAACGAGGCCGAGAAUUUUACAUACCAAAGACUUGGCUACCCUGCUAUCAUUAUAUCUUCCAAGAGAAGAUAUUAGCUGCUGUUGGUCUAAGCCGAAUACCAAGGCGACCUGCAUGAGAAGAACUGCGGCUUAAACUAUAAACUGUUGGGAAUUAUCGCUACCAGAGAAGUGACGAAGAGGAAUCCACCGAUAACUAAACCUUCUGAAAGAGCCCAUUGGUUGCGUGUGUCUCAUCUUGACAUAGUCAAGAAAACUGAAUAUUCCAAGCAGAAGCCUUGGUACUUGAAGCGUGACCCAUUUUUCCCUUUGGAUACUGAAGAACAAGCUGUUGCUACUGCUAGUGCUUUGAGAUCCGGCAUUUCUAUAGUUAACUCCGAAGUUGAGGACAAGAUCAGCUCCGACGAGGAUGACUCAUUAAAAACUUCGGAUGACGAGGCUUCGACUGAUCAAUUUUCUCCUGACGAAGAAUAUGAACAGGUGACCCCGAUAAGAAAGACCACGACCGUUGUCAUUCCAGGCGAAAUUCCCAUAGGGGAGUCCUCUCCAUCGCCGAAGUGACCUCGGCAAGCCGAAGAGCCAGCCGAAGUUAUCGGGGAGGAAACUCCAGUUUCUAAUGAGUCUCGGAGUCAUCAAGAAGAGGUGCAGCAAGAAAUUCCUUAUCUGAUGCCUUGUCUUCCUGAGUACUCUGCUGCAGACUCUAUCAAGCUCUUUCAGUAUAUUAAAAAGGAAUUUGAGCUUGCUUUGAUUGCUCGGCUUUCUGAAAACAAAGCCUUGGACAAAGACGAUGAUGAUGUGAAAGAAGCUGAUGUUCAAGUUCAGAAUAUUGACAAAUCUACUACAUCAUCAGUUGUUAAAACGUUGGGUUUUGAUAGAUUAGAUUUGACCUGAUGUUUAUUUUACAUAUUAACAAAAAGUGCUUGCUUAACUUUAAUUGACAUCUAAUUCUAAUUCUAAUCAUUAUUAAUUUUUUUUUCUUUAAAGGUGCUAAGUUGUUUGUAUGAUGUUAGGAAGACAUAAACAAAGCUAAGACCUUUAUUUUGCUACACUUGAUUUCAUUAGGUACAUUUACACCGAGGUCACUAAACUCACUAUAUAUAGAAAUAAGGUAACUAUAUCAAUUUUUACAAU